rnacentral:rRNA from 1 species
UACAGAGGGGGCAAGCGUUAUUCGGAAUUAUUGGGCGUAAAGGGCGCGUAGGCGGCGAUUCAAGUGGCGGGUGAAAUCCCACGGCUCAACCGUGGAAGUGCAUUCGAAACUGCAGGGCUAGAGUCCUGGAGAGGAAGGUGGAAUGCUUGGUGUAGAGGUGAAAUUCGUAGAUAUCAAGCGGAACACCGGUGGCGAAGGCGGCCUUCUGGACAGUGACUGACGCUGAGACGCGAAAGCGUGGGGAGCAAACAGG